rnacentral:ncRNA from 1 species
AAAAUGACGAUGAGAGGAAAUAGUACAGUCCCGUUUUCCGUUUUAGAGAGCUGCCGGUUGGUGAAAGGCAGUAACGGAAUAGGAUUGGAACUCUUCCUCGAGUAGCCGACCGAAAUUGAUUAAAGUAGGCUCGGACGGAGCUUCCGCCGUUAAAAGGAAGGCGAUAUCGGAUAACUCGAAGAUCGUUGUUCGAUGUUAGCAGUUCGAUCCAUGAAGGUCAUAUUUCGGAUCGAACCACGAAUCACGAACCACGAAUAUCGAUUAACUCCCGUAUCUGCAGAGAAGACGGCUGUUUGCUGUCAACUUGAGUGGUACCGCGAACUAACCCUUCGUCUCAAUC